rnacentral:rRNA from 1 species
CGCGGCCUAUCAGCUUGUUGGCGGGGUAACGGCCCACCAAGGCAACGACGGGUAGCUGGUUUGAGAGAACGAUCAGCCACACUGGAACUGAGACACGGUCCAGACUUCUACGGAAGGCAGCAGUAGGGAAUCUUGCGCAAUGGGCGAAAGCCUGACGCAGCGACGCCGCGUGCGGGAUGACGGCCCUAGUGGUUGUAAACCGCUUUCAGCAGGGACGAAAAUGACGGUACCUGCAGAAGAAGUCCCGGCUAACUACGUGCCAGGAGCCGCGGUAAUACGUAGGGGACAAGCGUUGUCCGGAUUCAUUGGGCGUAAAGAGCUCGUAGGCGGUUCAGUAAGUUGGGUGUGAAAGCUCCGAGCUCAACCCGGAGAGGCCACUCAAUACUGCUGUGACUAGAGUCCAGUAGAGGAGCGUGGAACUCCUGGUGUAGCGGUGAAAUGCGCAGAUAUCAGGAAGAACACCGGCAGCGAAGGCGGCGCUCUGGGCUGGUACUGACGCUGAGGAGCGAAAGCAUGGGUAGCAAACAGGAUUAGAUACCCUGGUAGUCCAUGCCGUAAACGUUGGGCACUAGGUGUGGGGAGGAAUCAACCCUCUCCGUGCCGUAGCUAACGCAUUAAGUGCCCCGCCUGGGGAGUACGG